UACGUAGGCAGCGAGCGUUGUUCGGAGUUACUGGGCGUAAAGGGUGUGUAGGCGGUUCUUUAAGUUUGGUGUGAAAUCUCCCGGCUCAACCGGGAGGGUGCGCCGAAUACUGAGGGACUUGGAGUGCGGGAGAGGAAAGUGGAAUUCCUGGUGUAGCGGUGAAAUGCGUAGAUAUCAGGAGGAACACCGGUGGCGAAGGCGGGUCUCUGGGCCGAUACUGACGCUGAGGCACGAAAGCGUGGGGAGCAAACAGG
rnacentral:rRNA from 1 species